rnacentral:lncRNA from 1 species
AAGGAGACUAAACUAAUAAAUUAUUAUUAUUUACCAAAUAUUCAAGCCCACCACCAAGGAAUCUGAUUUUAGCCACCAACCACAUGUUAAAGAUGCUCACCAACCUUUGAAAAACGUUUUUCUUGAAAAUAAUAAUUAAAAUUUCCAAAAAUCAAUUAUUUCGGAACUCCGAAACAUCAAUAAUUCACAAUAAAUAUCCCUUUUAUCAGAAAAUUCAAAUCUCGCGACUUUUUAUAGGAAUUUCAAUUCUCUACAACUUUGCAGAAGAAAAUUUUUCCAAAUUCCAAACAGAAAUUAUCCAAAAUCCACAAACGGGCAAUUUUACAGUCUAUAAUAAAUUUUCGGUCAAGAAUCGUGUCCACCGACACACAAAACAUAUGUUAAACAUUUAAUGCCACAAAAUACUCUACCUCCUCAUAUACUCAUAUAUCCCACAAUUAUUAUAAAAAUAUCACCGUUAAUAUAUUAUUAAAAUAAUAUAUUUAAAUGUAUUAUUUUAUCAGAAAAAGAUAAAAUAUUAAUUUUCAACAAUUGUCACAUUAAAAAUUUUCUCCAUCUAUAUCCACAUAAAAUAAAUAUUUUCUUUAUCAUAAUAAUCAAUAAUUAAUUAUUCAAAAAUAAUAUUACAGAAUCACAGUACUGACAACCAGGCCGUUCCCAGGAAAGAGGGGGCUUUCCAAUAAGGAUUUCUCCUUACUGGCGCGCAAUUAGGUGACCAAACCUCUCCUUAGACAGAACUUUCUAGACAUUGCCAAUAAUGUUAUCUGAUAAUAUUAUUCAAAUAAUAUGAAUUAUUGAUUUGAUAAUGGAAAAUACUGUGUAAUGACAAUUAUUGAAACAACAGCAAUACAAAAUAUCAACGCAGCAAUUAUUGAAUCAAUAAAAUAUAAUAUUGAACAGUAACUACUGUAACAAUUAUUGAGUAGUGCCUUCUUACGUAAGGAUCAAUAAUUCAAUAAUACUGUGCAAUACCGUGUGCUACUGUGCAACCACGCGUAUUACUGUAUUUUAACCACCAGGUAACCCAACAGUGUUAACGGUAACAAUUUACGUCGUUAUUUAUAAAACUCAAUCUUUGUCGUUUUCCUUCAUCCAACCGUUUUCCGUUAUGGGGCCCACCAAUGACUGCGCCGUCGUACGGAGAUUCCCGACAAAAAGAAUAUUCCACGACCAAACGAAUAUUCCCCGACAAUAAUGAAUAUUUUAUAACCACUUGCUUAUUUUGUAAACUUUGCACAUUUCACCCAUAACCAAAGAAUUAUAUCAAAUUAACCCUUAUUAAUUUAGAAUAAUGAAUAAAGGAAAAUUCAAUUUUAUUUAUAAUAAGUUGGGGUCUUACAACCUCCCCUCCUUAUGAAAUUUCGUCCUCGAAAUUGACGUACGUACCUGGUAUAUCGAAAAGGUGAGGGUACCUCGCUUUCAUCUCCGAUUCCAACUCCCAUGUCAUUUCCUCAAUUGCAUGGUUUCUCCACAAAACCUUAACUUGUGGUAUAACCUUCGUGCGUAAGACAUGCUCUUUCCUAUCCAAAAUCUCAACAGGUAUCUCCUCGUAGGUUAAAUCUUCAGCUAUCUCGUCUGGUUCUAAUGCAAUAAUGUGGUUCGGGUCUUUCACAUAUUUACGAAGCAUAGAUAUGUGGAAUACAUUGUGAACACGAGACAUACUUGGAGGUAACGCGAGUCUAUAGGCUACGUUUCCUAUUCGGUCAAGAAUCUCAAAUGGACCAACAAACCUUGGAUUGAGCUUUCCUCUUUUCCCAAAUCUUGUAACUCCUUUCCAUGGAGCAAUACGUAACAAUACAUGAUCUCCAAUAUUAAACUCCACGUCCUUUCUAUGAAGAUCAGCAUAACUCUUUUGUCGAUCUUGUGAAGUUUGAAUACGUUGUCGAAUCAUUUGGAUCUUUUCUGUAGUCAUGCGUACUAAUUCUGGUCCCAACAAUGUUGCUUCUCCCACCUCGUCCCAGCAUACUGGAGAACGACAUUUUCGUCCAUACAACGCCUCAAAUGGAGCCAUGCCUAUACUUGCUUGAUAACUGUUGUUGUAGGAGAAUUCCACCAGUGGUAGGUACUUAUCCCAACUUCCUUUGAAAUCUAGGACACAGAGUCUUAAUAGAUCUUCAAGGGUUUGAAUAGUCCUCUCUGAUUGUCCGUCCGUUUGAGGAUGGUAUGCUGAACUGAAUCGUAAAUCCGUGCCCAUAGCUUUCUGCAAGCUAACCCAAAAUCUUGAAGUGAAUCUCGGGUCACGAUCCGAAACUAUGGAUACUGGCAUGCCAUGCAAUCGUACAAUCUCAUUCACGUACAUACGAGCAAGACGUUCAAGGGGAUAAGUCUCGCGUAUCGGUAAGAAAUGGGCAGACUUGGUUAAUCUAUCAACAAUAACCCAAAUUGCAUCUACGCCUUGAGAAACUUUGGGAAGACCUGUAACAAAAUCCAUAGUAAUGUGUUCCCAUUUCCAUUCCGGAAUCUCAAGUGGUUGCAAUGGACCUUUUGGCACUUGAUGCUCCGCCUUUACACGUUGACAGGUUAAACAUCUUGAGAUAAACUCCGCAAUCUCUCUCUUCAUAUUGUUCCACCAAAAUGUAUGUCGAAUAUCAUGAUACAUUUUGGUACUCCCAGGAUGGAUUGCAAACGGGGUGUUGUGUGCCUCCAUCAUGAUUUUAUGCUUCAGGUCAGAAUCGUUAGGAACGCAAAGUCUAGAAUUGACUCGAAGUAUUCCUUCCUCAUCAAUUCUUGCUUCCGGAAUAGCUCCUUCUUGCACUUUCUUCUUCAUACGCAUCAGCCCCAGGUCCGUAGCUUGAGCAGCUUUAACUUUAUCGAUUAAAGUCGGUUCUACUUGUAUAUUCGCCAUCAUUAUGUGGGUCCCUGGAGUCUUUAAUUCUACCUCCAUCCUUUGCAAGUCAUACAAAAUGGGCCUUUGCGUUGACAAUAUCGCACUCGUACUUGCAUAUGAUCUUCUACUUAAUGCGUCAGCUACUACGUUCGCUUUUCCAGGAUGAUAUUGAAUAGUGUGAUCGUAAUCUUUUAACAGCUCCAGCCAACGUCGUUGCCGCAUGUUGAGUUCUUUUUGGGUGAAGAAAUAUUUGAGGCUUUUAUGAUCCGUAUAAAUCUCUACUUUCUCCCCGUACAAGUAGUGUCUCCAUAUCUUCAACGCAAACACGACUGCUGCCAACUCCAGAUCAUGAGUAGGAUAAUUCCUCUCAUAUUCUUUGAGUUGUCGUGAGGCAUAGGCUAUGACUUUCCCAUGUUGCAUGAGAACACAUCCUAACCCCUUGCCAGAAGCAUCGCUGUAGAUAACAAAUCCAUCUGAACCAGAUGGUAUUGUCAGAACAGGUGCCGAAAUGAGUCUCCUCUUGAGCUCUUGGAAGCUCUUCUCGCAUUCCUCGCUCCAUAAGAAUUUUGCAUCCUUCCGAGUCAGCUGAGUUAACGGAGUAGCGAUUCGAGAAAAUCCUUCCACAAAUCUCCGAUAAUAACCAGCUAAGCCCAGAAAGCUGCGUACUUCGGUCACCGACUUCGGUUGCUCCCAACUUUGUAUUGCUUCAAUCUUCGCCGGGUCAACAGAUACUCCUUGUUUUGACACCACGUGCCCAAGGAAUGCUACUUCCUCAAGCCAGAACUCGCAUUUCUUCAGCUUGGCAUAAAGCUUGUGUUCACGAAGUCUUUGUAGUACCAGCUUCAAAUGGUGCUCAUGAUCUUCACGGCUUUUGGAAUAGAUGAGGAUGUCAUCAAUAAAGACAACAACGAACUGAUCCAAAUAUUCCUUAAAUACACGGUUCAUCAUAUCCAUGAAAGCAGCAGGAGCAUUAGUCAAUCCAAAAGACAUGACCAAGAAUUCAUAAUGCCCGUAUCGAGUCCUGAAUGCCGUCUUUGGAAUAUCCUCAGUUUUAAUCUUCAGCUGAUGAUAUCCAGAACGAAGAUCGAUCUUUGAAAAGAAUUGCGCUCCUUGUAACUGGUCGAACAGGUCAUCAAUGCGAGGUAGCGGAUACCUAUUCUUGAUGGUGACAUGGUUCAAUUCUCGAUAGUCAAUACAAAGUCGCAUACUCCCGUCUUUCUUCUUUACGAAUAAAACAGGAGCACCCCAAGGAGACGUACUAGGACGAAUGAAACCGAUGUCUAAUAACUCCUGUAGUUGGACUUUUAACUCCUGAAGUUCAAUAGGAGCCAUUCGAUAUGGGGUUUUAGAAAUGGGCUUUGUACCCGGUUCAAGGUCAAUAAAGAAUUCAACAUCACGUUCUGGGGGUAGACCGGGAAGCUCUUCAGGAAAUACAUCAGGGAAUUCUCUAACCACAGAAAUAUUAUUCAAAUCUGACUUGUCUUUAUUCAAAUCCAUAACAUGGGCUAAGAAAGCUUGACAUCCGUUUUUCAAUAAACGAAUAGCUUUGUGGCUUGAUAUGACAGUGACUGAUUUUAGUGGUUUAGUGGUUUGAAUUCGUAUGACAGGUUGGUUAGGAAUAUGAAAACUAACAACCUUACGAAAACAAUCAAUUUUGGCAUGAUGAGUGGUUAACCAAUCAAUUCCUAAAAUCACAUCAAAAGCAAGUAUCUUUAAAGAGAUAAGAUCAACAGGUAAUGUGAUAGUGCCAACUUGGAUCAUGCAAGAUUUAUAAACUGUAGAUGUAACGAAGGUUUCACCCAACGGAGUUUCAACAGAUAAAUCAAAAUCUAAUUUCUCCGGAGUCAAGUUUAAACGUUGAGCACAAGCAGGAGAGAUAAAAGAAUGGGUAGAACCGGUAUCUAGUAAGGUAUAAACUUCGCAAGAAUUCAAGAUUAGCUUACCCGUGAUCACCUCGUUUGGGUUCCUCACGUUUUGUCCAGUCACGACAAACGCUCUUCCAGGAACCGCUGAUUUCGACUUAUCCGGGACAGCCCUUGGAAUCACCACUCCUGCUGAACUUGGUUUCGCGAUAGUACAAUCUCGAGCGAUGUGGCCUUCCUUUCCACAGUUGUAACAUACCUUGGAUUGUUGUGGACAGUUUGGGCUGAUAUGUCCCUCCUUCCCGCAUUUGUAACAUCUAACUGGCGGUCGUUCUCCUCCCCUAGCAUUUGUUGUUGGUGCUGGUGCUGCCGUUGAUAUCUUCCCGUCAUUGUUGAAUCUUCUCUUUCUGAAAUUUCCACUUGAGUCACCUCUCCUAUUAUCAUGUCCACGAUUACCACCUGAGUGGUUACCGCCUUUGUCCGUAUUCUUUCCUCCUCGCUGGUUAUCAUCGUUCUGAUGACUACCCUGAUUGUGGUCCCUCGGUUGAGUAUACUCACUAUCUCGCUCUAAUAACUGAGCCCUGUUGACAACAUCUGAAUACAGAGAAAAUUUAUGAGAGAUAAGGUAUUGACGAAUCUCUGGUUUUAGACCUCUCAGAAACAUACGCGUCAUUCGUUCCUCAUUCUCCACCAAAUGAGGUGCAAACCUGGAUAAUUCUGCGAACCUUGCCUCGUACUGAGACACCGUCAUGUUGUUCUGUUCGAGUCUAAUAAACUCUACCUCCUUCAUAUGACGAAUACUUUCUGGAAAGUACUUGUCAUUGAACAGUUUCUGAAAUCUUUCCCAAGACAUGUUAAGUGCAUCUGGCUGGGUACGCUUCACAGAUUCCCACCAGUAAUCUGCUUCACCACGAAACAUAAAGGUGGCGAAUGGAACCUUCUGUUCCUCCGUGCACCCCAAGACAUCGAAUAUCUUGGUAAUUUGCUUGACCCACGUUUCUGCCUUGAUCGGAUCCGGCUUUCCAUGGAAAUCUGGUGGUCCCAACUCCUUGAACUGCUUGGCUGUGACAGACCGUGCAUUGCCAUCAUUUCCACCCGUAUUUUGUACACGAGUCUCCCUUGUCUGAUUUUGCAUGAACUGCAAAAAGCUUCUAAACAUCCCGUCGUUCAUCAUUUGCUCAGUGGCGUUGUUCACAGGAGGAACAUUGCCAGCCUGUUGCACGUUCUCCUCGUUGGUGAGUACCGGCGUCUCCACGGUCUCAUAAACUCCAUUGUUAACGUUCUCAGCAGCCAUUCUUAAAUACUGCCAUAAAACAAGGGUUAAUUAAACAAAUUAACAUAUCACAUAAUAUCCUAUAUUAUGACCGACCAACAAAUAAGCUUAGGUAGGACACACUAGCGAAGGAUUUACUCGUCUCUCCCCUCCUAGUUCUAUUCCCCGAUCUCCGCCAGAGAUCAUAUCCCUAAGCUCUGAUACCAACUGUGACGCCCCCAAAAUAGGUAUACAACACCCAUUCUGAGUCGCCAAAAUACAUGGUAUAGAAAGCAAACUACAACUUUGACAAUACAGAUGUCGUGUAGAAUACGACAAUACAACUGUGAGUUUGAAUACAAAUAUUGUCUUCUAGACAAUAUACACACCCAAAUAAGUCCUCAUUAAUUAUUCAUACACUAUUUUACAGAAAUAGUGAGGACAGCUAAAACAUCUUCCUAGAACCAUCACUCCAUACCCCGACUCGAUCCUGCUAUGUUCUCACCUCCUGAGAAGAAAAAUGGAACAAAAAGGAAAAGGGUGAGCUCAACUAGCCCAGUAAAGAAUAUUAUGACUAAGAUAAUAUACAACAAAUUAUCGUUAGUCUUCAACAGGGAAAAAUCUAAUAGAAUACAAUAGACAACAAGUUUUAGAUCAACAAAUGCAGCGGAAACAGCAAUCCAUUAGAAGAGUCACGUAGAGAAAGAAUUCUACUGUCUUCUAAGGUUUAAAAGUCCAUCAUCAAUAGUUUAUCCCUGUAAUAACAAUCAAUAUACAUCUUUAAUCAUCUUUGCACUACAGGCCAAAGAUAUUCAUUUGUAUCACCAGUUGGUCAUGUUCAUCUCAACACCUGUUCAUCUUUGCACUACAGGCCAAAGAUAUUCAUCAGUUAAUCGUUCAUCUUUGCACUACAGGCCAAAGAUAUUCAUUUAUAUCACCAUUUAGGACUGAGGAUGAUGAAAAACAUUUUUAAAGAAACGAAUCCAGUGAAACAAAAUGACAAGGAUUAAGGAUUAAGGAUUCGUACUUUGUUUUACCCAUGUCCAAAAAUACUUCGAAAAUAAUCAUAUUGGUGUAAAAUUCAAGAAUGAUCAAAACAUGGAUACAAUCAAAGCUAGUAUCCAGAAUAGAUAUUUUGGACAAAAAGAAAAAUUUUUAUUUUUCGGUGAAUAGUGCCGUAUUCGUGAAUAGUGUCGUAUACGUGAAUAGUGCCGUAUACGUGAAUAGUAACCCCGACACAACAAGUUCCAAAUUUGAUAAAAAAGUUCACCAAUACUUCGGCAUAAUGAUAUUGAAGAAAAAAUAUCAUUUAAGAAGAAAAUAAUACCCCUUACCUCAAAAUAACCGUACUUCUGACUGAAUUUCGGUAUAGUGCUGACAGAAACCCGCACCGUAUAGCAACACUCAAAGUAUACUCACAAGAAUACGCUCGAUAAUUUAGAGAGAGAAAGAGAGAAAACUUAGUUUCUGGUGUGAUUUUCAAUUCUAACUUAGCCCUCUAUUUAUAGGAAAAUGUUAGAACGCCAAAGGAGACUAAAUUAAUAAAUUAUUAUUAUUUAAAAUUACAUUUCUACGCAUGCCAUUUGAACACUUCAGCCACCAGCCAACCUUGACCCAAUUUCCAGCAGCCCACAUGUUCAAACAAGAGUGGGUCCCACCCAUUAUUUAAUAAAAAUUAUUUUAUCUUCCGAAACUUCAAUAAUUCGUAGAAAAUAGCUCGUUUAUCAGAAAAAUUCGAAACUCGCGACUUUCCAUGGGAAAUUCCAUUCUCUACAACUUUGCAGAAGAAAAUUUUUCCAAAUUCCAAACAGAAAUUGACCGAAAUCCAUAAACGGACGAUUUUACAGUCUAUAAUCAAUUUUCGGUCAAGAAUUGUGUCCACCGACACACAAAACAUAUGUUAAACAUUUAAUGCCACAAAAUACUCUACCUCCUCAUAUACUCAUAUAUCCCACAUUCAUUAUAAAAAUAUCACCGUUAAUAUAUUAUUAAAAUAAUAUAUUUAAAUGAAUUAUUUUAUCAGAAAAAGAUAAAAUAUUAAUUUUC